UUGGGUUGGCCAAAAAGUUUGCUUGGGUUUUCCAAAGGUGCUUACAGAAAAACCCUAGUGAACUUCUUGGCCAACUGAGU
rnacentral:miRNA from 1 species